rfam:Duck coronavirus isolate DK/GD/27/2014, complete genome.
GGUCAGAUAGGCAUGUAGUUUGAUUUCCUGCAUGCCUAUCGCC